AUAAUACCCCCUCCUCCCAAAAUUCUUCUCUUAGGUUUGCCUAAAAAUGGAUGUAUCUACAUACUAAAAUGUGACUAGAUACAUUCAUAUAUAGACAAAUUUAAGACAAUAAUUUUGGAACGGAGGGAGUAGUAU
rfam:Hordeum vulgare subsp. vulgare, WGS project CAJW01000000 data, contig: morex_contig_2548414